rnacentral:rRNA from 1 species
GACGAACGCUGGCGGCGUGCCUAACACAUGCAAGUCGAACGGAACUGUUUUGACGGAUUUCUUCGGAAUGAAUUUGAUUUAGUUUAGUGGCGGACGGGUGAGUAACGCGUGAGUAACCUGCCUUCAAGAGGGGAAUAACAUUCUGAAAAGAAUGCUAAUACCGCAUGACAUAUCGGAACCACAUGGUUUUGAUAUCAAAGAUUUUAUCGCUUGAAGAUGGACUCGCGUCCGAUUAGUUAGUUGGUGAGGUAACGGCUCACCAAGACCGCGAUCGGUAGCCGGACUGAGAGGUUGAACGGCCACAUUGGGACUGAGACACGGCCCAGACUCCUACGGGAGGCAGCAGUGGGGGAGAUUGCGCAAUGGGGGCAACCCUGACGCAGCAACGCCGCGUGAAGGAUGAAGGUUUUCGGAUUGUAAACUUCUUUUAUUAAGGACGAAAAAUGACGGUACUUAAUGAAUAAGCUCCGGCUAACUACGUG